AAGCGCUCGUGGUCAGACUUGCGCCGGGGUGAUCAUCUGGGGUUCUCCCCAGUGCACUCGCCCCGGCACAGGCCCGCGUCGGUUCUCGUGGGGGGAUAAAGGCAGCAGGAAUGUGACUCUUCGGAGUGUUAUAGCCUGUCGCGUCAUGCCCCCGUGGGGACCGAGGUCUACGCUCUGCAAGGACGCGGGCAUAAUGGCCACCGGCGA
rnacentral:rRNA from 1 species